GUCUGUGAUGAAGUCGCCCGAUUUGGUUGAGGCUGCUGUCGUCACCAAGUUCCUGCUUGUCAGGAAGAACCUACUUGGUGCCGCUGCUCUCGCAUGAUAUCUCCGGGUAAAUCUGAGGC
rfam:Zea mays cultivar B73 chromosome 5, whole genome shotgun sequence.